GAGACAUUCAGAACUGUCUGGGAUUCUGUCACAUGGAAAUCUACCAAGAUGAAACAGGGCUGGCCAUGUAAGGAGCUUGGCAUUUUACCAGAUGAAGAAGCUGAGUCAGAGUAAUUAAAAGAGCUUGCCUGAUGGCAUAGCUCAGCUGGCUGGAACCGAGAUUUGAAACCAGGUUUGAUGGAUUCCAAAUCGUUUAAGUGUGUUAUCCUAUUUCUCACUGUUUUUUAAGGUAGAUUUUUUUUAAAAAAUUGAGAUAAAAUUCACUGGUUUAAGUAUACAAUGUAGUGGUUUUCAGAAUAAUUACAUUAUUGUACAACCAUCACCCCUGCCUUAUUUCAUGAUAUGCCCAUCUCCCAGCCAAAAGAAACUCUUUAUCCGUUAUCAGUCAUUCCAAUUUCUCCCUCCUUUCAUCCUCUGGUGACCACUAAUGCAUUUUCUGUCCCCAUGAAUUCGUCUAUUCUGAACAUUUCAUAUAAAUGAAUCAUACAAUAUGUGGCCUUUUGUGUCUGCCAUCUUCCCCUUAGCAAAAUGUGUUCAAGAUUUAUCCAUGCUGAA